rnacentral:rRNA from 1 species
AUUGAACGCUGGCGGCAGGCCUAACACAUGCAAGUCGAACGAGUGGCGGACGGGUGAGUAAUGUCUGGGAAACUGCCUGAUGGAGGGGGAUAACUACUGGAACCGGUAGCUAAUACCGCAUACCAUCGGAUGUGCCCAGGUGGGAUUAGCUAGUAGGUGGGGUAAAGGCUCACCUAGGAGACGAUCCCUAGCUGGUCUGAGGGGAUGACCGGCCCAACUGGAACUGGGCCACGGGCCAGAGUCCUACGGGAGGAAGCGGGGGGGAAUAUUGGACAAUGGGCGCAUGCCUGAUGCAGCCAUGCCGCGUGUAUGAAGAAGGCCUUCGGGUUGUAAAGUACUUUCAGCGGGGAGGCGUUACCCGCAGAAGAAGCACCGGCUAACUCCGUGCCAGCAGCCGCGUAAUAC